GAUGAACGCUGGCGGCGUGCCUAAUACAUGCAAGUCGAGCGAACAGACGAUGAUCUUGCUCCUCUUACGUUAGCGGCGGACGUGUGAUUAACACGUGUAUAACCUACCUAUAAGACUGGGAUAACUUCGGGAAACCGGAGCUAAUACCGUAUAAUAUAUUGAACCGCAUGGUUCAAUAGUGAAAUACGGUUUUUCUGUCUCUUAUAGAUGGAUCCGCGCCGCAUUAGCUAGUUGGUAAGGUAACGUCUUACCAAGGCAACGAUGCGUAUCCGACCUGAGAGGGUGAUCGGCGACACUGGAACUGAGACACGGUCCAGACUACUACGGGAGGCAGCAGUAGGGAAUAUUCCGCAAUGGGCGAAAGCGUGACGGAGCAAGGCCGAGUGAGUGAUGAAGGUCUUCGGAUCGUAAAACUCUGUUAUUAGGGAAGAACAAAUGUGUAAGUAACUAUGCACGUAUUGACGGUAACUAAUCAGAAAGCCACGGCUAACUACGUG
rnacentral:rRNA from 1 species